UUAACCACUGGCAAAUAACUCUAGAAAAGCUGAAAUUCUAGGAAAAUUCAUUUAAUCAGAUUCACCUUCUAAUUUAAUCCAGUGUUUCAGCAAAGUAUAAAUAUGGAUUCAUUUAUCUUCAUUUCCUAUUUCUGCUAACCCUCUAAAAAAUAUUAAGUAAUGACAUUGCUGCCCCAAAUGGACAAAACAUAGAACUUAAAGGAAUCAGAAGCCAAGGUCAUUUUAAAAAAAUCUUUAAAAUUCAAUUUUUUGAAUGCUGACUACAAUUUAUUUGGCUUCAAAACAGAAAAUUCGGAUUAAUAUACAAAUAGCAAUAGUCAACAACCUCUCCUAGCCUUCAACAAUACAUUAUUAAUCAUUCUAAGAAGUCAGAUUUUUUUCAUACAUCAUAUUCAGAUUUGUUUUGAAUGCAACUAAAUUACAAACUGUUACUGAAACUUACUUUCAAUUAACCUUCUUCUAGGAAAUAAUACCACCUAUGUCAACUGAGAAGCAGACUGUGAAGUGAGAAUUAAGAGAUCACAGAGAGAUGUGUGCCACUGACCAGUAAAUGAGGACAGAAAGAAAUUUGAUUUGUUGGAGGUCAUACAGCAGAGCAGGAACAGAUCCAGCAGAAGUCAAAGUCUCAAACUCUGAUAUUCAGGUUGUGUUAGCUAAUCUAAGCACUGAGGAAAAGAAUCCUUCAUGAGGACUAUGUAGCAUUACACCUUCUUCAAUAGCUUUAGUGGAACAAGAAGGACAUAAAUCAUGUCUCAGCUGACACUGGUUAACAGUGCUGUUGCUGUU